rnacentral:tRNA from 1 species
GGGCCCGUAGCUCAGUUGGUUUAGAGCGCCUCCCUUGCAAGGAGGAGGCCCCGUGUUCG